GAGGUCGUAGCUCAGUGGUAGAGCAUCUGCUUUGCAUGCAGAAGGCCCCGGGUUCGAUCCCAGGCACCUCC